rnacentral:rRNA from 1 species
CAGGCCUCACACAUGCAAGUCGAACGGUGCUGCGGAGCUUGCUCCGCGGAUCAGUGGCGCACGGGUGAGUCACACGUGAGUCACCUGCCCUUGACUCUGGGAUCAGCGUUGGAAACGCCGUCUCAUCCCGGAUCGGCCUUCCACAGGCAUCUGUGGGGGUGGAAAGCUUUUUCGGUCAUGGAUGGACUCGCGGCCUAUCAGCUUGUUGGUGGGGUGAUGGCCUACCAAGGCGACUACGGGUAGCCGGCCUGAUAGGGUGACCGGCCACACUGGGACUGAUACACGGCCCAUACUCCUACGGGAGGCAGCAGUGGGGAAUAUUGCACAAUGGGCGAAAGCCUGAUGCAGCAACGCCGCGUGAGGGAUGACGGCCUUCGGGUUGUAAACCUCUUUUAGCAGGGAAGAAGCGAAAGUGACGGUACCUGCAGAAAAAGCACCGGCUAACUACGUGCCAGCAGCCGCGGUAAU